rnacentral:rRNA from 1 species
AUUGAACGCUGGCGGCAUGCCUUACACAUGCAAGUCGAACGGCAGCAUGGAGAGCUUGCUCUCUGAUGGCGAGUGGCGAACGGGUGAGUAAAGCAUCGGAACGUACCGUGUAGUGGGGGAUAACGUAGCGAAAGUUACGCAAAUACCGCAUACGCACGGAGGGGGAAAGCAGGGGACCGAAAGACCUGGCGCUAUACGAGGGGCCGAUGUCAGAUUAGCUAGUUGGUAGGGUAAAGGCCUACCAAGGCGACGAUCUGUAGCGGGUCUGAGAGGAUGAUCCGCCACACUGGGACUGAGACACGGCCCAGACUCCUACGGGAGGCAGCAGUGGGGAAUUUUGGACAAUGGGGGCAACCCUGAUCCAGCCAUGCCGCGUAAGUGAAGAAGGCCUUCGGGUUGUAAAGCUCUUUCGGCCGGGAAGAAAUCGCACAGGCUAAUACUCUGUGUGGAUGACGGUACCGGCAUAAGAAGCACCGGCUAACUACGUGCCAGCCGCCGCGGUAA